rnacentral:rRNA from 1 species
AUUGAACGCUGGCGGCAGGCCUAACACAUGCAAGUCGAGCGGAGCGGCAGACGGGUGAGUAAUGCCUAGGAAUCUGCCUGGUCGUGGGGGAUAACGUCCGGAAACGGGCGCUAAUACCGCAUACUCUCAGCUGCACCUAUGUCGGAUUAGCUGGGUGGUUGGGUCAAGGCAUCACAAGGCGACGAUCCGUAACUGGGCUGAGAGGAUGAUCAGUCACACUGGAAAUGAGACACGGUCCAGACUCCUACGGGAGGCAGCAGUGGGGAAUAUUGGACAAUGGGCGAAAGCCUGAUCCAGCCAUGCCGCGUGUGUGAAGAAGGUCUUCGGAUUGUAAAGCACUUUAAGUUGGGAGGCGUUACCAACAGAAUAAGCACCGGCUAACUUCGUGCCAGCAGCCGCGGUAAUUC